AACGCCUGGGCGCCGUGCUGUUUGUUGCUAGGAAACGCGCGUUCUGCGUCAGAGAAGGGGGGGGGGUUGUUUUGAAAUCAACCAAAUACACAUACACACAAAAACAAAACAAAACCGCAGCGCACAAACAACACGCACAUACAACCCAACGUUGGUGGUGAAAGACUUGGGAUUCUGCUUUUAGAGAAGCUGUUAUUCUACCAGAAGCUGUUACUCCAGUUCCUAUAAGCCCAGUAGCCAACAUGGCCUGUGGAAUCAGAGACUUUACAUAUACCAGCAAGUUUUGGGGAAUUUUUUUUUUGUAUGCAGCCCUUCAUCUGAACAGUGUAGUUCACAACAUAAACAUACAAAAUGCAAACACUAACACAUUGCGCCACUGAGGGCUAGUCUGUAAUUUUAAUAUAUGUGUUUAUGUAAAUACAAAUCUCCUUUGACUGGAGUUUGUGCUGAUUUGGGGGGAGGGGGGGCAGGCCUCCACAAGUAACAGAAAAAAGACAAAACAAGCACCACCAACUAAUAAACGUUUAAAUUAUGAGUGAUAACCUAUUCAGGAUUUCCUGAUAGACAUAGUUGCCUUGGUCCCAGGAAAGGGAAAUUUUCUGUGCCAGAUUUGCUGGUAAAUGAUCCCAAAAUUUCCAUGAAACUUAGUUCCAAGUGAGUUAAACUCAUGGAUUGCUGACUAUGAACACACCAGAAACCUAAGGAUGCUUGUUUAUUUGCUUUGGCAUUUGGUUGGUUGAAAAUCCUGGUAACUUCCUAGUCGGUGUGCAUACUUUUAAGAUUGUAUUGUAUGUCCUAGCACAUGGUGUUUUUGAAACUUGACAACAGCUUACAUGCAAAUCCUCGAACUCUUUCAACAUGGUUGGCAACUGGAGCUGCGGUAUAAGAUGCAACCUGGCUUUUCCUAUGUAGUUUCGGAUACGUAGCCGACACAGUUGGCAAAGAGAACAUGGAGUAGCUCUGGAAUGUUGUUUGGAAGAACUGCACUUAGAUCCUUGCAACAAUUCAAUCAACUUAACCUCUUUUGUGUCCAAAGCAAUAUUUUUUAAUCACCUGCUGUCAAUCUAAAAGAAGAUUGUCACCCUCCCUCAAAACGUGAUAAACACACAUACACAGUUUUGUUGGAUCUUUUAUUAUAGCAAUGUUCUUACAUUUUCUCAACAUAUUUAUUUUAAAAGGAUGAGUUCUGUUUAAUUAGAAUGAAAUCGAAAGGCAAGCCAGGAAAAAGGGCUUGGUGUGUUAACUAGGCUAUGCCUAGGACAGAUCCCUGAAAGGGAAGGAAGCUGAUGCAAUUUUGGAGACAUUUGUCUAUGCCUGUUAUAAUGAAUGUUGUUUAACAAUUUGGAUGUAUGUUUAAACACCAGUGGCUUUGCUUGAAAUACCAUUUAAUAUGAGCUUGUGCAGCUAA